GGGCUUUUUUUUUCCUGACAAGUUAUAAAUGCAUUGUGCUCAAGUGUCCGAAAUUAUACUGAGAAAUAUCAAAACUCAUAAUUUUAACUUUCGUUUUAGUUUUUACUUUUGCAUUAAAACAUUUUAUUUAAGAGUUUAUAUAAUUUUACUGUUACCUACUUAAGUAUACAUUUUACUUCUACAUAUUUUUAUUAUAGAUGGUCUAUAACUGUGGAUUCAU
rnacentral:lncRNA from 1 species